UGACAAAUGACAAGUUCUCUGGUGUCCUUG
rnacentral:piRNA from 1 species